UACGUAGGCAGCGAGCGUUGUUCGGAGUUACUGGGCGUAAAGAGUGCGUAGGCGGUGCCCUAAGUCUGGUGUGAAAUCUCCCGGCUCAACCGGGAGGGUGCGCAGGAAACUGGGGUGCUCGAGUGUGGGAGAGGCAGGCGGAAUUCCCGGUGUAGCGGUGAAAUGCGUAGAUAUCGGGAGGAACAUCAGUGGCGAAGGCGGCUACCUGGCCCAAUACUGACACUCAGGUGCGACAGCGUGGGGAGCAAACAGG
rnacentral:rRNA from 1 species